GACGAACGCUGGCGGCGUGCUUAACACAUGCAAGUCGAACGGACAGGCCCUGCUCUUGUGGGUUGCUCGAUUGGCGAACGGGUGAGUAACACGUGUGUAACCUGCCCCUGACUUUCGGGUAACUUCAGGAAACUGGGGCUAAUAUCCGAUAGGAGCUCCUGCUGCAUGGUGGGGGUUGGAAAGUUUCGGCGGUUGGGGAUGGACUCGCGGCUUAUCAGCUUGUUGGUCGGGUAGUGGCUUACCAAGGCUUUGACGGGUAGCCGGCCUGAGAGGGUGACCGGCCACAUUGGGACUGAGAUACGGCCCAGACUCGUACGGGAGGCAGCAGUGGGGAAUAUUGCACAAUGGGCGGAAGCCUGAUGCAGCAACGCCGCGUGCGGGAUGACGGCCUUCGGGUUGUAAACCGCUGUCGCCUGUGACGAAGAGGGAGUGACGGUAAUGGGUAAAGAAGCACCGGCUAACUACGUG
rnacentral:rRNA from 1 species